UGGGGAAUAUUGCGCAAUGGGGGCAACCCUGACGCAGCAACGCCGCGUGAAGGAUGAAGGUUUUCGGAUUGUAAACUUCUUUUGUUGAGGACGAAGAAAGUGACGGUACUCAACGAAUAAGCCACGGCUAACUACGUGCCAGCAGCCGCGGUAAUACGUAGGUGGCAAGCGUUGUCCGGAUUUACUGGGUGUAAAGGGCGAGUAGGCGGGUUUGCAAGUCAGAUGUGAAAUACCGGGGCUUAACCCCGGGGCUGCAUUUGAAACUGUAGAUCUUGAGUGAUGGAGAGGCAGGCGGAAUUCCCGGUGUAGCGAUGGAAUGCGUAGAUAUCGGGGAGGAACACCAGUGGCGAAGGCGGCCUGCUGGACAUUAACUGACGCUGAGGAGCGAAAGCGUGGGGAGCAAACAGGAUUAGAUACC
rnacentral:rRNA from 1 species